CCCAGAAGGCGGUGGGUGAUGUGAGGCCGCUCAGAGAACAGAGCAAGCUGUUCCGGGACUCGGCGUCUGUCCCCGGCCGGGGCAUGGCAGAUUUCUCUUAGGUGUUUCCUAGACGGUCUCUCCUGCUCUCCACACUCGCCUUGAUGUGCUCUGCAGCUCUGUCACGAAGCCUCUAUCCAAUGCCGACACUGCGUGUGGAAAUGGUCGUGGCUUUUCAGGUGGCACAGUCGUCCUCGGAGGGGACUGAUCUCUCGCAGCAGAUUCUCAGCUCCUGUUUUCUGCUUGGCCUCUCCCUGCAUAGCUCAGGAAUCACCGGCGGCCCCGAGAGACCGUGGCCGUUUGAGCACGUGCAGCCCGUCCAACAGCGGGUUUUUAGAGCUGUCGCUGUCUGCAGGAUGUUUAGACGGAUAAAACCACUCCCAUGGCCGAGAAGAGAAGCCGCUUUCCUUGCAUUUCUAGUCAUUGCCUAGCUGUUGUAUUUGUGGUUUGAUGUGGACCUUUAACCGCAUCCAGAGGUUUGCACUUUAAAUCCCGCUUUACUUGAUGCUAUGUUUUUUGUUAGCGUUUUCCUCGUUUUUAUUUUCAGCUUUUGCCAACUUUAUGACAUCUGUAUAAACAACGUAUUGCUGGUUUUAUUUUCAA